UACGAAGGGGGCUAGCGUUGUUCGGAAUCACUGGGCGUAAAGCGCACGCAGGCGGAUCGUUAAGUCAGGGGUGAAAUCCCGAGGCUCAACCUCGGAACUGCCUUUGAUACUGGCGAUCUUCGAGUCCGGGAGAGGUGAGUGGAACUCCGAGUGUAGAGGUGAAAUUCGUAGAUAUUCGGAAGAACACCAGUGGCGAAGGCGACUCACUGGCCCAUUACUGACGCUGAGGCGCGAAAGCGUGGGGAGCAAACAGG
rnacentral:rRNA from 1 species